AUCUUGAUUUGGGGUUCUCUUAUUUUUUGAUUGAACAGAUUCUAUGUGGACGGAACGCCCAUUAGAGAAUACAAGAAUAGUGAAUCAAUGGGAGUUUCAUAUCCGAAGAACCAACCAAUGAGGAUUUACUCAAGUCUUUGGAAUGCAGAUGAUUGGGCUACAAGAGGAGGACUUGUCAAGACUGAUUGGAGCCAAGCACCCUUUAGUGCUUCUUACAGAAACUUCAGUGCUAAUGCUUGUAUUCCCAGUUCUUCAUCUUCUUGCAAUUCCAAUACUACAACUUCAACAAGCAAUUCAUGGUUGAAUGAAGAGUUAGAUAGCACAAGCCAAGAGAGGCUUAAAUGGGUGCAGAAGAAUUACAUGGUCUAUAAUUACUGCACUGAUUCUAAGCGAUUUCCACAAGGAUUUCCAGUAGAUUGUGUUCAGAAUAACUGAGCAUUUAUAGUGAAAAAAUAGUGUAUUCUCUUAAAUAUUUUUUAUCUCUAGAACUAUUGUAAUGAUUCUUUUAUUGUUUUGUACCCAUCAGUAGAAGAUGCAAUAAUUAUUGAGGAUUAGAAACAUCUUAGUUUUGUACUAAGUUUAUAUAAACAAUGAAAUAGAUAUUUUCUUUUAUACUUUGUGUUUUGGAUAUGUUUUUUUUUCUUUUUAAUCAAAUUUGACCCAAUGGGCCAAUUUUAUUGAUAAAUAUGUCGGAGGAAUUUUCACAUAUAGCCACUAAAAAUAACCUAAUUACUCUCCAUAACUAUAGUUUGAUAAUUGCAAUUUGUAGCUACAUGUUAUAUGAGGAGAGAUGCGAGCGAGACUGGGAGAGAGAGGAGAGAGGCGAGCGAGAGAAGGCAAAGAGUGGGAGAGAGGUAAAUUGUACAUAUAUAUAUAUCAGUUAGAUAAUUGUAUAUUAUACAUAUGUAUUUGUAUAUCCUGGCGAAUUAUACAUAUACAAACGUGGAGAAUUAUACAAACUCGAAGUCAGCUCACGUAAUUAAUGUAUAAUGUUAGUCACGAGUGAUAAUUAUAGCAAAUUAUAGCUAUGAUGAGUAAUUAAAUAAUAUAAAUUUGCUUAACCGCAUAAUUUUUCCUAUAUGGAAACAAUAAAGCUGAAAAGGAGGUCCAAAAUGAACAGCCUAAAGCCUAAAAAAUACUCUCUCUGUCCCUAUUUAUUUGUCCAUUUUUCACUUUAUAGUUGUCCCUAAUUACUUAUCCAUUUUGACAAAUCAAGAAAAAAUAUAUUUUUUUAACUUUUUGAAAAUAUUAAUUUUUUAAUUCAUCCACUUCAUAAUUAAUAGGGGUAAAAUGGUAAACUCACUAUGUCAAUAAUUAUUUUUUAAAUAAAUGUGUUAAUUCAAAAGCAGACAAAUAAUUAGGGAUAGAGGGAGUAAGAUGGAAAACAAAAAAAUCUAGAUUUAUCGUCUACAUCUUCUUUGCAUUUAGAAAAGUAACUCUUCACCUUCUAUAUAUCACUCAUGGCAGCAUCAAGUUCUUUUAACUUAGUCCUAUCUCUGAUGUAUCUUAAUUCAUCAAUACGUCGAGUAUCUCCCUUAUAACGUUUGUAAAAAGUCGAUUCAUCUAUCUACCUUCCCACAUCUAAUCGUCUUUAUUUUUUACUUUCAAAUCUUAAGAAUGGAUACAGGGCCGGCUCUGUGGUUUGGAAAAUAAGGCCUUUGCCUUAGGCCCCAAAUUUCGGGGCCCCAAAUUUUUAUCAAGAAUAAAUUAUGUCCUAAAAUUUUUAUAGAAAAAAUUGAUUAUUUAUGAUAAAAGGUGUAAUUUUUUUUAAAAUAAAUUAUUUUAUCCACUUUAACAUUUUUUGUAUUGUGUUAAAAAUAAGAAUUAAUAGUGAAAAGUGUUGAACAAAGUGAAUUACAAAUUCUUUUUUAUUUCUUUUUAAAUUUUAGUUUCAAGCAUUACUACAAGCAUAUUAAAAUGAGGUAUACCAAGUCAUCAACUUUUUGAGUCAAAUUCUAUAGUUCUAACUCUUAUCUUUAUUUAAUAUUUAUCAACUUAUCACUUAUAGCAUUAUGUUAACAAUACAUAUAAUAAUUGCCUCACUUAAAUGAUGUUUUUCAAUGUUGAGUUGAUAAAAUCUUAUCUAAAACUAGUAACUGAAAAAAUAAUAUAUACUAUUAAAUACUAAUGAUUUUCAUCUAAAUAGUAUAAGAAAAAUAAUUUUUGAAUAAAUACGUAUAUAAAGUUUAGUUAUAUUUUAGGCCGCGAAUUGAAAUUUCGCUUUAGAUCUCCAAUUACGUUGAGCCGCCCCUGAAUGGAUAACAAGUUUCGGUGGUCCUCCAUACUCGUACUACCUCAUGUAAAUUGAUCUUUCCUUUGUUUUUCCGCAUAUGACCUCCAAUUCACCUUUGAUUCGAUUGAAGUUUUUAUGUGUUCUUGAUAGAUUCAGCUCCAUGCGCCGUUGUGUUAAUUGUGCUAUUUUUUGUCCUUUCACAAAAUCAUGAAUAAAAUAACAUUGUUUAUUGCUUCUCUUGAAAGCUAUCAUAAUAUAAAUAUUGUUGUUUGUGGUUGAUUGGAGAAUUACUAUUCAACUUUAUAUAAUUGGAGAUUAGAGGUGAAAUAAAGAGUGUUUGAAGAAGACAUUCUCUAUUUUACACUCCAAAUAUAGAGACUGAAGAGUGAAAUAAAGAGGGUUGGAAAUAGAUUACAGUAGAAUGAAAACGAAUUUGCAUCGUUUCAAAUUAUAGAGAAUGAAUAGUAAAAUAGAGAGGGUUGGAGAUGGAAGUACAGUAGAAUGAAAGUGAAUUUGCAUCAUUUCAAAUUCCUAUCUUAAUUGAUGAGAAGGCGGGAGAAAAGGCUAAAUAUUUAGGACCCGUUUGACCAUAAAUAUAUUUGGGAAAAACUUGAAAAUGGUGUUUGGUUAUACAACUUGCCACUACUUGAUAAAUAUAGUUUUCAAAUAUCCCAAGUUUUCAAAUACUAAAAAAAAUUAGUAUUUGGCUAAGUUCUAAUAUUUGAGAAUUUUUAAAAAUUUAAAAAAUACCCCAAACUUUAUAUUUUAUAAAAAAACACCCAUCAUUUAUUAAUUCCAACUACUUCCUCUGUCCCAAUUUAUGUGACUUACUUUCCUUUUUAGUCGGUCCAAAAAAUAAUGACACAUUUUUAUAUUGAGUAACAAUUUAACUAUAAAUUAUCUAUUUUAUACUUAAUGAAAACCACAAGUUUUAAAAGUCUUUCUUUCUUUCUUAAACUCUGUGCCGUGUCAAACUACCUCACAUAAAAUGGGACGGAAGGAGUAAUAUUUAUCUAUCAAAUUACUCCAUUAAUAACUUAUAACCAGAUUGAGAAAAAAAGAACAAUUUAUUUUUAAUGAGUUAUAAGUAAUUCUGAAUCAGUAACAAGUUUGAGUGUGCAAUUAAGGUAUUGCUCUUUCCCAUAUUGCUAUUUUGUUGUGGUUAAUUCUUAUCAAUUAUGUUCUAGGGUUAUUUUUUUUAAUGAACACGUUCAUUAUAAAAUGAUAAUACAAAAUUAAAGGUUUUUUUUUUUUGAAUUAUGGAUAUAGAUCAUAUUUUUUGAAAUAGUCAAAUAUUUCUUUCAAAUUUAUGGGCAAGCGCAUGGUGAAACUUCACCUAAAAAUGAUUUGCCAAGCAUAUUUGGGAAUUUGGAGUCAAACGCUAGCUCAUACUUAAUUAUAUAAUUAUAUUUUUGCAAUAAAAAUAUAUAUUUAUAAUUACACUAUAAUUACAUUAUGGCAAAUAAGCAAAUCAUUAUAAUUACUAUACUAUAUAAUUACUAGGUUAUACUCCCUAUAGUUCAUAUUAACUAAAUUUUUGAGAGAAUGCACCCCAUUAAGAAAAAUAAUUUAGGACAUAAAUUGAACUAUCACUUUACAUUUUUGACCUUUUAGUUAUUCUCAAAUUAUUUUAAAAAAUAGAAAUAAUUUAAAGCAAAAUUAUAAAUAUGAACAACUAACUCUCUUAAACUUAUCACCUAUGUAAAUGAAAUGCAAAUAUAAAAGAAAUUUCCUACAACUCUCUUAUAUAUUGAACAAUUAACUUAUUUUAAACAUUAAAUAAAGACUAAAAAAUCAAUUAUUAUGAUUUGAGGAAGUAUAAUUAUACAAAUUUCAAUCAUUACGUGACCUUCUGAAAAAAAAAAAAACCCUGGGCUAAGACACAAGUGCCAUUCAUUCAUUGUUUUUUUUUUGUUUUUUUUUGUUUUUUUUUUAUUCUUUUUCUUUAUCUUUUCUUUUGAUUCGAUUUCGAAUUUAAUUCCAAAUAUUUAAAAUAUAUUAAUUUCAAACAUAUAUCAAAAUAAGUAAAAAAACUAAAUAAAAUAUUAAAAAAAUUAAAACUUUAAAAUUAAAGGGCACUUUUUUGAAUAUAUAUAUAUAUAUACACGUAAAUUUUUAAAAAUAAUUAAAAGUGAAAAGAGAAAAAAAGUUUAAUGUGAGGAGAGAAAUAGAUAUUUUACAAAUAAAGAAAUGAAAUAAUUAAAUAUUUAUAAUUUUUAAUGUCAAUAAUUAUGUGUAUUAACUCAUUAUAAAAUGACCAAUUAAAAAAAAGACAUGUGUUUCUCUAUGCCAUGUCAGCAUCUAGGGUGUAUUUAUUUUAUUUUAAAAUAAUUUAUUAAGAUAAUAGAACCACAGUUAAGUUUAGAUGUGACGUUGAAAUUUCGAGUAUAGUUCAAUGUAGGGGUGAAAAAACGGAACAACAAUCGAGAAAAGAAACCCAACUAGUGGUUUGGUAUUGAAAAUUCUUUUUUGAACAUAUUUGGGUUGGGUUAGUUUUAACUUUAAAAAGUCAGCCCGAGUCCAAAUCAACUCAACAUUAUAUAUAUAAUUUUUAAAAUUUAUUUUAUACAUAAAAGUAGAUUUUUUCUUAUACUUGUUUAUAGUUUUUAUCUUUUAACAUAUUAUUUCAGUUUGAUUUAAAAUUUUGAACAGUCUAAUAAAUAUUGUAAUUCAUUAUUUUCUUAAUAAAUCCACCAAUUUAUACUAUUUCUAAUAUUCUCGACACCAUAUAGUGCAGGGAAACUUUUAUUUUGUUCUUGUUGUUUGAGGAUGGAGAAUGAUGGUUGACAAAAUAUUGAAUGAAGGAAAUGCAAAAUGCACUACGGAAAGUGUACAUGAUAAACAAAUGAAAAGGCCAAUCUGAAAAAUGAAAAUGGUGCAAAAUUUACACGAAUGUAGGAGUAGUGUGGGAUUAGAUACACAUCUUGAUUUGAAAUUUGUUAAAGACCAGCUCCAGCUGAUUGGUCCACAGAUAAUAUAGCCACGGGAUAUAACCUCUUCCUAGUCAAAUACCUUAAGGCGGUUCUACACCCAACUAAUACAAUGUAGGUACACUUGAAUAAAAAACAAUACAUUAAAGUUGAACUAGUUCCAAUGAAAAUGAUAAUGUGAGACUAACCAGGGUUGUAAUGGAUGUGAAAGUGGGCAAAACUCUCACAUUGGUCGAAAAAUUGACUGAUGGUAUCUUUAUAUGGAUUUGAGUAAUUUUCCCUUCAUAAGCUAACUUUUGAGGUUGAGUUAGACUCAGAUGACAUAUUUUUAAAUGAUAUCAGAUUCAGGUUCAUCCCCGUUUAGGCUUUCGUUAUAUGGACUUGAGCAAUCCUCCCUCAUAAAUUUUGAAUUCAAAUCUUUUUGAGUAUGAAGUCACCUUUGUUAGAAAAUAUUUUACCCCAAUGUAAAACUUUCCAAUGCAAACUCAAAUUUAACCGAGUUUCAAUGCGACUAGACACUACCAUUUAUGGGUUGUCACAUAGCUUUGAUGGCAUCAUUUUUUUCCCCUGUUUCCAGCUCAAUAUACACUCAAUCUUUUUUUCUUACUUUCUGUUUUACUUUGAACCUUCCUCUUUAUUUCCUCAAGCCUUAGACCCCACACGCUCUAGCUACUUAUUUGUUGGUGAGGUGGGGGUGGUAUAAACCCUUAUAAAACCCAAUCUAGCUUUCCAACUCAAAUUCAUCCAACAAACAUUGAAAUCUCUUAAGAAUUAAACAUGGCUUCUUCUUCUAAGUUAGUACUUGUAAUUUGUUUUAUGAUCAGUGCUUUUUGCAUUGCAAUUGGGGCCAAAUUCGAUCAAGAAUUUGAGAUAACAUGGGGUGAUGGCAGAGCAAAGAUACUCAACAAUGGGGACCUCCUAACUCUCUCACUUGACAAAAUCUCUGGCUCUGGUUUUCAAUCGAAGAAUGAAUAUCUCUUUGGUAAAAUUGACAUGCAGCUCAAACUUGUCUCUGGAAACUCUGCUGGCACUGUCACUGCUUACUAUGUAAUUCCCUUAAUUUCUUUUCUUAUAUAAUUUUUGAGCUAUACAUGUUUAUUGAGUUGAAAUGAAAUUGAACUUCUUUUUUGAAAAUUUAUUGCAGUUGUCAUCACAAGGACCAACACAUGAUGAGAUAGAUUUUGAAUUCUUGGGAAAUCUAAGUGGUGAUCCUUAUACUCUCCAUACUAAUGUAUUUAGCCAAGGCAAAGGAAACAGAGAACAACAAUUUCAUCUAUGGUUUGACCCUACUGCUGAUUUCCACACUUAUUCCAUCACUUGGAAUCCACAACGCAUCAUGUAAACAUUCAAUCUUUCUUCAAAUCUAACACAUUCUUUUAAGGAUAAAUCUUGAUUUGGGGUUCUCUUAUUUUUUGAUUGAACAGAUUCUAUGUGGACGGAACGCCGAUUAGAGAAUACAAGAACAGUGAAUCGAUGGGAGUUUCAUAUCCGAAGAACCAAGCAAUGAGGAUAUACUCGAGUCUUUGGAAUGCAGAUGAUUGGGCUACAAGAGGAGGACUUGUCAAGACUGAUUGGAGCCAAGCACCCUUUAGUGCUUCUUACAGAAACUUCAGUGCUAAUGCAUGUAUUCCCAGUUCUUCAUCUUCUUGCAGUUCCAAUACUACAACUUCAACAAGCAAUUCAUGGUUGAAUGAAGAGUUAGAUAACACAAGUCAAGAGAGGCUCAAAUGGGUGCAGAAGAAUUACAUGGUUUAUAAUUACUGCACUGAUUCUAAACGAUUUUCACAAGGAUUUCCAGCAGAUUGUGUUCAGAACAGCUAAGCAUUUACAGUGAAAAAUAGUGUAUUCUUUUAUUUAUUGUACUGAUUCUUUUAUUGUUCUGCAUCAACCAGAAGAUGCAUUAAUUAUUGAGGAUUAGAAACAUCUUAUUAUUGUAUUGACAAUGAAAUAGAUAUAUUCUUUUAUAGCUUAGUGUUUUGGAUAUGAAAAAUUAUGCUACUACAGCUCUUUUGCAAAGUACAAAAGAGGUGAAUUGGCAUCAUUUUUAAAAUUCCUAUCUAAAUUGAUGAGAAGGCGGGAGAAAAGUCAAAUUAUUUAACUUAAUUAUGUAAUAAUAUUUGUUUAAUCAAAUAAUCCAUUUCUAAUUACCCUAUAAUUGAUUAUGACAAAUAAAAAAAUCGUUAUAAUUACUAAAUUAUAUACUCCCUCCGUCCCAUUUUAUGUGAGGUUGUUUGACUCGACACAAAGUUUAAGAAAGAAAGGAAGACUUUUAAAACUUGUGAUUUAAAAUGAAUGAUAUAAAUUUGUGUGACGGUAAAUCAUUUCAUUAAGGGCAAAAUAGAAAUUUUAUAGUUAAAUUGAUAGUACUUAAUAUAUAAAUAUGUCAUUCUUUUUGGGAUUGACUAAAAUAUAAGUAAGUCAAAUAAAUUGGGAUAGAGGGAGUAAUUAUAUAAACAUCGAAUGAAUUAAAUGCACUUUGGAAAGUGCACAUGAUAAACAGUGAAAAGCCCAAUCGAAAAUGGUAAGAAACUGACCCAAUCUAAUUUCCUCCGUCACAAAAUAUUGUAUAUCAUUUAGAGCAACUUUCACAUAUAGCAAAUAAAAAAAUCAUAUUUGUAUGCUAUAGCAAAAUUUGCAUAAUUGCGUUCCAUAACAAACAUAUAUAUGUAUAAUUCGCUAUACAUAUACAAUUGAAAGCUGUCUAUUUCGCUAUACAUAUAUACAAAAAGAAGCAAUUGUAUAAUUCGUUGGCUCCUCUUCAGAAUUGUAUAAUUUCGUUGGCAGGCCAUUUGUAUAAAUUGUUGUUUAAGCCUUCUCGUUUGUAUAAAUUCGUUGACAAAAAUAUUUGUAUAUCAAAAAUCGCUCUCUUUCGCUUUAUACAAACAUAAAUUAUACAUUAUACAAACAUAAAACUGGGCAGGGGAAUGUUUUUAUUGUAUAAUUAUAAGUGUAUAGGAUGAAUAUACAUGUAUUUGCAUGUGUAUAUAUAAUUUUCUCGCGCUUUAUACAAAUAGAAACACAAUUUAUACAAUUCUGUUGUAUAAAACGAGAAAGAGAGAAAGGCAAAAGAGAACUGGGCAGAGAAAUAUUUUUAUUAUAUAAUUAUAAGUGUAUAAGACGAAUAUAUAUGUAUUUGCAUGUAUAUAUACAAUUUUCUCUCACUUUAUAUAAACAGAAACGCAAUUUAUACACUUCUGUUGUAUAAAGCGAGAGAGGCGAGCACAGAGGGAGUGAGCGAGAGAGGAGAGUGGCGAGCGAGAGUUUGAGGGAGAGAGGCGCUGACAAACAGUUUGCUACAUGACACAAUUAAAUCAAAAUGUGAUUAUACCAUUUAAUUUGAAUUAAUAGUUAGCCAUUAUGUACAAUUUUCCCUAUCAUUUAUAUGCCUUAAUCAACAAAUAUCAUAUAUUUAGUAAAAUAUCAAAUGAUUCACUCUUAAUUUUAAAUAGAGAUAUGACACAAGCAUUCUUAGACUAUGAUCGAAAUUUCGGAGAGACACAUAAACUUAACUAAGGUUCUAUCACCCCGAACUCAUUUUUUGAUAUUUUUGUGCACCUUUUAUGCUGACGUGACACCUUCAACCACCCAAGUUGACUGUGUUUGUACACAUGUGUCUGCCAUGUUUGUAAAUGUUUUCUAAAAUUUUUAAAUUUGUUUUUUUUUAAAAUAUUUUUAUUUUUUUUAUCAUAUAUUUAAAUUAAGUUAAUAUAUAUUUUCUUACCUUGUAUCUAAACUUUUUUUUUAAAACUUCAUUCAUUGUUUUUUUUCUUUUAUUUACUCUUUUUAUUUUCUUUGUCUUUCCUUUUGAUUUGAUUUCAAACAUCUUGUAUUUAAGAUAAGUUAAUUUCGAAGGGAUAGCAAAAUAAGUGAAGAAAUCAAAUUAAACAUUAAAAAAAUUAAAACGUUAAAAUUAAAGGAUGCUUUUUUUAAAAAAAAAAAUAAGUAUAAUUUUUAAAAAUAAUUAAAAGUGAAAAGAUAAGAAAUUAAUGAAAGAAAAAAUAUAAAAAGUUUAAAGUGAGAAACAAAAUAAAAUAAAUAUUUUACAAAGAAAGAAAUGUAAAUAAUUAAAUAUAUAUAAGUUUUAAUAUCAAUAAAUAAGUGUACUAACUAAUUAUAAAGUUACCACUUAAAAAAUUACAUGUGUUUAAUUUUGUUCACUCAUCACUUGCCUUAUAAUGUAUUUAUUUCAUUUUAAAUUAGUUUAGAAGGUAAUAGAACCCUUGUUAAGUUUAUACGUAUCUUUGAGAUUUCAGUCAUAAGAAAAAAGAAGAAGUCAUAUUCUAAGGAUACUUGUAAUUUUUAAAUACCUCGAUUUCUUUUAAAUCCAUCAGGUGAUACCAUUUCUAAUCUGACCAAAAAAAGAUACCAUUUCUAAUAUUCUGGACACCAUAUAGUGCACGAAACUUGUAUUUUCUUCUUGGUGUUUGAGCCUGGAGAAUCAUGGUUAAUAAAUAUUAAAUGAACGAAAAUCAAAUGCACAUUGGAAAGUAUACAUGAUAAAGAAAUGAAAUUAAAAAGGCCAAUCGAGGAGCAAAAGUUACACGAAUGUAGUAGAACUGUGGGAUUAUAUGCACAUCUUGAAUUGAAAUUUGUAAAAAGCCAGCUGGUUGGUCCACAGAUAAUAUAGCCACGCUAUAUAAUCCCCUGCUAGACAAAUAUUUUAAGGGGUGACUAAACCCAACUAGUAGAAAUAAUACAAUGUAGGUACACUUGAAUAAACAAAGGGAAACAAUACACAAGUUGAAGUAGUUCGAAUGAUCAACGAGAGUUGUAGUGUAGUGAUAAAUACUUCUUCAUUCUUAAUUAGAAGUUUUAGAUUCGAGUCUCCGGGGUAUAGAGUCGCCUUUGUUAGAGAGCCUAUUCGAUUUGAGAUUUUCCAAUGCGAAUUUAGAUUUAGUCGGACUCCAGUUCCAAUGAAAAUGAUAGUGUGAGGGUUGGAAAGACUCACCAUAUAUGUAUGGGCUGUCACUUAGCUUUGAUGCCAUCAUUUUUAAUCCUGUUUCCAGCUCAAUAUAUGCUCAAAUCUUUUUUUCCUGCUUUCGGUUUUACUUUGAACCUUCCUCUUUAUUUCCUUAAGCAUAACCCCACACGCUCUAGCUACUUCUUUGUUGCUGAAGUGGGGUGGUAUAAACCCUUAUAAAACCUCACUCCAACUCUAAUUCAUCCAACAAAUUAAAGUUUGAAAUCUUUAGAACUAAACAUGGCUUUUUCUUCUUCUAAGUUAAUACUACUUUUGAUGUGUUUUAUGAUCAGUGCUUUUGGCAUUGCAAUUGCAGCCAAGUUCGAUCAAGAAUUCGACGUCACAUGGGGUGAUGGCAGAGCAAAAAUACUCAACAAUGGCGACCUCCUUACUCUCUCACUUGACAAAAUCUCUGGCUCUGGUUUUCAAUCCAAGAAUGAAUAUCUCUUUGGUAAAAUUGACAUGCAGCUCAAACUUGUCGCUGGAAAUUCUGCGGGCACCGUCACUGCCUACUAUGUAAUUCCCUUAUUUUCUUUUUUCUUAAAUGAUUUUUGAGUUUAUUGAGUUGAAAUGGAAUUGAACUUCUUUUUUGAAAAUUUAUUGCAGUUGUCAUCACAAGGACCAACACAUGAUGAGAUAGAUUUUGAAUUCUUGGGAAAUCUAAGUGGUGAUCCUUAUACUCUCCACACUAAUGUAUUUAGCCAAGGCAAAGGAAACAGAGAGCAGCAAUUCCAUCUUUGGUUUGACCCUACUGCUGAUUUCCACACAUAUUCAAUCACUUGGAAUCCACUACGCAUCAUGUAAGUAAUUAAAGAUUCGAUCUUUCUUCAAAAAUAUGUGACUUUUUAAAUCAAAUCUUGAUUUGGGGUUAUCUUAUUUUUGGUUUAACAGAUUUUAUGUGGACGGAACGCCCAUUAGAGAAUACAAGAAUAGCGAAUCAAUGGGAGUUUCAUAUCCGAAGAACCAAGCAAUGAGGAUUUACUCGAGUCUUUGGAAUGCAGAUGAUUGGGCUACAAGAGGAGGACUUGUCAAGACUGAUUGGAGCCAAGCACCCUUUAGUGCUUCUUACAGAACUUCAAAUCUAACACAUUCUUUUGGGAUAAACCUUGAUUUGGGGUUCUCUUAUUUUUUGAUUGAACAGAUUCUAUGUGGACGGAAUGCCCAUUAGAGAAUACAAGAAUAGUGAAUCAAUGGGAGUUUCAUAUCCGAAGAACCAACCAAUGAGGAUAUAUUCAAGUCUUUGGAAUGCAGAUGAUUGGGCUACAAGAGGAGGACUUGUCAAGACUGAUUGGAGCCAAGCACCCUUUAGUGCUUCUUACAGAAACUUCAGUUCUAAUGCUUGUAUUCCCAGUUCUUCAUCUUCUUGCAGUUCCAAUACUACAACUUCAACAAGCAAUUCAUGGUUGAAUGAAGAGUUAGAUAACACAAGCCAAGAGAGGCUCAAAUGGGUGCAGAAGAAUUACAUGGUUUAUAAUUACUGCACUGAUUCUAAACGAUUUUCACAAGGAUUUCCAGCAGAUUGUCUUCAGAAUAGCUGAGCAUUUACAGUGAAAUUUUUUGUAUUCUUUUACUUUUGAUCUAUAAAACUAUUAUAUUGAUUCUUUUAUUGUUCUGCACCAACCAGUAGCAGAGGAUUACAAACAUCUUAAUUUUUAGUUUUGUUACUGAGGGAUCGUUUGGUGAAAUUACACUGUGUGUUUGCCC
rnacentral:lncRNA from 1 species